rnacentral:rRNA from 1 species
GGGCCCGCACAAGCGGUGGAGCAUGUGGUUCAAUUCGACGCAACGCGAAGAACCUUACCCAGGCUUGAACAGCGAGUGACCAUUCCCGAAAGGGAACUUCCGCAAGGACACUCGUAGAGGUGCUGCAUGGCUGUCGUCAGCUCGUGUCGUGAGAUGUUGGGUUAAGUCCCGCAACGAGCGCAACCCUUGUCUGCUGUUGCCAUCACGUUAUGGUGGGCACUCUGCAGAGACUGCCGGUGAUAAACCGGAGGAAGGUGGGGAUGACGUCAAGUCAGCAUGGCCUUUAUGUCUGGGGCUACACACGUGCUACAAUGGCCGAUACAAACCGUCGCAAAACCGCAAGGUGGAGCUAAUCGGAGAAAGUCGGUCUCAGUUCGGAUAGCAGGCUGCAACUCGCCUGCUUGAAGUUGGAAUCGCUAGUAAUCGCGGAUCAGCACGCCGCGGUGAAUACGUUCCCGGGCCUU